rnacentral:rRNA from 1 species
AAUCAACGCUGGCGGCGCGCUUAACACAUGCAAGUCGCACGAGAAAGGGAGCAAUCCUAAGUAAAGUGGCGUACGGGUGAGUAACACGUGGAUCAUCUACCUUCUGGUGGGGAAUACCCCGGGAAACUGGGGACAAUUCCGCAUAAGUCCGAGAGGAGAAAGCAGCAAUGCGCCGGAAGAGGAGUCCGCGGCUGAUUAGCUUGUUGGCGGGGUAAUGGCCCACCAAGGCGAAGAUCGGUAGCCGGCCUGAGAGGGCACACGGCCACACUG